rnacentral:miRNA from 1 species
GCUGGGCGUGGUGGCGGGCGCCUGUAAUCCCAACUACUCAGGAGGCUGAGGCAGGAGAAUCGCUUGAACGCGGGAGGCGGAGGUUGCAGUGAGC